rnacentral:rRNA from 1 species
CCCUUAGAUGUUCUGGGCCGCACGCGCGCUACACUGACGGAGGCAACGAGCGUGUCCUUCGCCGGCAGGUGCGGGCAAUCUUGCGAGUCUCCGUCGUGCUGGGGAUAGAUGGUUGCAAUUGUCGAUCUUGAACGAGGAAUUCCUAGUAAGCGCGAGUCAUCAGCUCGCGCUGAUUACGUCCCUGCCCUUUGUACACACCGCCCGUCGCUACUACAGAGUGCCCGUGUCCAAGAAACGGUCGGACCUGUGCGGCCUCUCCGGGCGACCGGAGGGCCGUUACGGGGAAGACCCUUUAUUUGACGCGGGUCGAUGAAGUAAAAGUCGUAACA